rnacentral:rRNA from 1 species
CUAACACAUGCAAGUCGAGGGGCAGCGGGAGUGAAGCUUGCUUCACUUGCCGGCGACCGGCGCACGGGUGAGUAACGCGUAUGCAACCUGCCUGUAACAGGGGGAUAACCCGGAGAAAUCCGGACUAAGACCGCAUAACGCUGAGAAGCCGCAUGACUUUUCAGCCAAAUAUUCAUAGGUUACAGAUGGGCAUGCGUCCGAUUAGCCAGUUGGCGGGGUAACGGCCCACCAAAGCGACGAUCGGUAGGGGUUCUGAGAGGAAGGUCCCCCACAUUGGAACUGAGACACGGUCCAAACUCCUACGGGAGGCAGCAGUGAGGAAUAUUGGUCAAUGGACGGAAGUCUGAACCAGCCAUGUCGCGUGAAGGAGGAAGGUACUAUGUAUUGUAAACUUCUUUUGCCUGGGGGUAAAGUGGGUCACGCGUGGCCUAUUGCAAGUACCAGGCGAAUAAGCAUCGGCUAACUCCGUGCCAGCAGCCGCGGUAAUACGGAGGAUGCGAGCGUUAUCCGGAUUUAUUGGGUUUAAAGGGUGCGUAGGCGGGACGUCAAGUCAGCGGUGAAAUACUGUGGCUCAACCAUAGUACUGCCGUUGAAACUGGCGACCUUGAGUGCGGCAGAGGUAGGCGGAAUGUGUGGUGUAGCGGUGAAAUGCUUAGAUAUCACACAGAACACCGAUUGCGAAGGCAGCUUACUGGAGCGCAACUGACGCUGAGGCACGAAAGCGUGGGUAUCGAACAGGAUUAGAUACCCUGGUAGUCCACGCUGUAAACUAUGAUGACUAGCUGUUGGCGAUACAGUGUCAGCGGCACAGCGAAAGCGUUAAGUCAUCCACCUGGGGAGUACGCCGGCAACGGUGAAACUCAAAGGAAUUGACGGGGGCCCGCACAAGCGGAGAACAUGUGUUUAAUUCGAUGAUACGCGAGGAACCUUACCCGGGCUUGAAGUUAGCGACGGACGAGAGAACGUCUUCCCGCAGGGCGCGAAACUAGUGCUGCAUGUUGUCGUCAGCUCGUGCCGUGAGGUGUCGGCUUAAUGCCUAACGAGCGCAAC